rnacentral:rRNA from 1 species
AGUGAACGCUGGCGGUAGGCCUAACACAUGCAAGUCGAACGGCAGCACAGUAAGAGCUUGCUCUUACGGGUGGCGAGUGGCGGACGGGUGAGGAAUACAUCGGAAUCUACUUUUUCGUGGGGGAUAACGUAGGGAAACUUACGCUAAUACCGCAUACGACCUACGGGUGAAAGCAGGGGAUCUUCGGACCUUGCGCGAUUGAAUGAGCCGAUGUCGGAUUAGCUAGUUGGCGGGGUAAAGGCCCACCAAGGCGACGAUCCGUAGCUGGUCUGAGAGGAUGAUCAGCCACACUGGAACUGAGACACGGUCCAGACUCCUAAGGGAGGCAGCAGUGGGGAAUAUUGGACAAUGGGCGCAAGCCUGAUCCAACCAUACCGCGUGGGUGAAGAAGGCCUUCGGGUUGUAAAGCCCUUUUGUUGGGAAAGAAAAGCAGCAGGUUAAUACCCCGCUGUUCUGACGGUACCCAAAGAAUAAGCACCGGCUAACUUCGUG